CAGUCGCCGCGGGAACACGAAGGGUGCAAGCGUUACUCGGAAUUACUGGGCGUAAAGCGUGCGUAGGUGGUGGUUUAAGUCCGUUGUGAAAGCCCUGGGCUCAACCUGGGAAUCGCAGUGGAUACUGGGUCACUAGAGUGUGGUAGAGGAUAGUGGAAUUUCCGGUGUAGCAGUGAAAUGCGUAGAGAUCGGAAGGAACAUCUGUGGCGAAGGCGAUUAUCUGGGCCAACACUGACACUGAGGCACGAAAGCGUGGGGAGCAAACAGGAUUAGAUACCCCGGUAGUCCCUGUCUCUUAUAC
rnacentral:rRNA from 1 species